GGGAAACUGCGGCUAAUACCGCAUGCGCCCCGGUAACGAAAGAUUCGCAGGAGGAGGGGCCCGCGUCGGAUUAGGUAGUUGGUGGGGUAACGGCCUACCAAGCCGAUGAUCCGUAGCUGGUCUGAGAGGAUGAUCAGCCACAGUGGGACUGAGACACUGCCCAGACUCCUACGGGAGGCAGCAGUGGGGAAUAUUGGACAAUGGGCGCAAGCCUGAUCCAGCAAUGCCGCGUGAGUGAUGAAGGCCUUCGGGUUGUAAAGCUCUUUCGCCCGCGACGAUUGACGGUAGCGGGAGAAGAAGCCCCGGCUAACUUCGUGCCAGCAGCCGCGGUAAUACGAAGGGGGCGAGCGUUGUUCGGAAUCACUGGGCGUAAAGGGCGCGUAAGCGGCUUGGUUUGUCGCGUGCGAAAGCCCCGGGCUCAACCUGGGAGGUGCGCGCGAGAC
rnacentral:rRNA from 1 species